AUUGAAACGAACUAACAUUAUGAUUAUUUUAAGAAUUGCAGUUUUUAUGAUGCUUUUGCUAAUUAAAGCAGUGAGCUGAUAUAUACGACAAUAGUACAUGUUAUAUGUUAUUGGAUUUAGUAAUAAUGCCAAUGGUAAAAUAAGAUAUUUUUGUAUUGGUACAACAGAAGAUGCUGGUGGUGGGUUUCAAUAGACAAUGUACGUGAUUUGUUGCUAUUAAAAUUCAUCGUCGGUCCAACGGUCGGGUUUUAGGAUUUUUGUGGUAUAUUUACAUAUUGGAUC
rnacentral:lncRNA from 1 species